AGAGAGACAGAUAGAGAAACAGAUAGAGAGAAAGAGAAAGAAAUAAAAGUUUAUGCAAGUCUAUCCUAGAACUUGAAUUUAGGAUUUCUACAUGUAUGGCAGACCACUUAUCACUAAGCUAUAGGAUUA